AUACUCAGUACUAUCUAUUACUGGCUAUGCUUUUUUGUAAAUAGAGCAAAAGAGAGCUGUGCCUGAAUCCACUGUCGUCACGGAGUUAAAGGCAGCAAAAUGGUGGCGGAGGUGGAGAUUUGAGAAACGCUACACAGGGGAGGUCCGGUCCACAGAGGGAUAUUGGAUCACAUCGACUCUUCAGAUCCCA